rnacentral:lncRNA from 1 species
GGAUUCAGGAAAUCUAGUUGUGAAAGAUGGGAAGGAUAAUAACUUCAUUUUAUGGCAGAGUUUUGAAUAUCCUUGUGAUACGUUUCUACCAGGAAUGAUGAUCGGAGGGAAUUCACAAACUGGUGUGUAUAGAAACCUGAUAUCAUGGAAGAGCGCAGACGAUCCUGGUCCAGGCCAAUUUUCAUUCGGGAUAGAUCGUCAGGGGUUUCCACAGCUAGUCGUCAGGAAUGGAACUUUGAAGCACUAUAGGCUGGGUUUAUGGAAUGGAAAAAGAUUCACCGGGACUCCUGAUCUGCCUACAGAUCGGCUCUUGAAGUAUGAUUUGAUUUUGAACAAGACUCAUGCAGAUUAUAGUUAUGAAAUCCUGAGACCGGGUGCAUUGUUGACGAGGUUAAUUGUGAAUCAGUCAGGAUUCGUGGAACGCUUUAUCCGUAGAGAUCAAACUAAUGGUUGGAAAAGUAUAUAUAAGGCACCAAGAGAUCUAUGUGACAAUUAUUCAGUAUGUGGUGCACAUAUGAUUUGCAAAAUGGUCGAUCAAUCCCACAAUUGUACUUGCGUGGAAGGAUUUGAACCCAAAUCUCGUACGAAUUGGAGUGAAGGGUGUGCUAGAAGGAGUCCAUUGAAUUGCACACAGGACAUCUUUCAGAAUUUUAUAGGGCUUAAGUUGCCGGAUACAUCCCUUUCCUGGUAUGAUACAAGCAUGAGUCUAGUAGAAUGCAAGGACAAGUGUCUAAAAAACUGCAAUUGCACGGCAUAUGCAAAUUCAAAUAUCACAGGAGAAGGCAGUGGCUGCAUACUCUGGUUUGGUGAAUUGGUUGAUAUGAGAGAGUUUAGUUAUGGGGGCCAAGACCUCUACAUAAGGAUGCCACCACCUUUGAAAACAGGUAUUUUUCAAUAUUCUUCCCAUGAUUCUCAAGCAGGUUAUUUUUUUUCACUCUUUCCCUCUGUUUCUUUUUUUUUUUUUUUUGAAAUGAAGAAGUUGUAUGUUCCUUAAAUGGUUUCCUAACUUCGUGUCCUCAUUUCCUCAUUCUAUUUACAAAUAAAACAGAACUCCUUUCUCUGUUUAUUGUGGGUUUUCAGAUCAGACGACGUCAAACACAAAUUCUGGUAAGAAGAAGCUUUUAGGAAUCAUACUCGGUUCCACACUCCUUGCUGGAGUGCUUAUGGUAGGACUAACCUUCUAUAUAUGGAGAAAGAAGCAGAGAAAGCAAGGUAGUGUACUUUGGACAAUUCUUCUUAUUCCAGAACAUGGACCUUGUUGAUAUAUAUAGUAUGCAUGGUAGAUUACUACUAUUGUAGAAUUUUAUGUUAGUCAUCGAUAACAAAAUGAAGAAUUUGUUAGAUCAUGCUGUUAGUCAAUUAGCUUUGAUAAGGAGAAGCUGUUCGUUUAUCAUUGCUGACAACUGAUCAAUCUUCUGCUAUUCAGAAAUAGAGGAAGACAUGGAGUUACCAUCGUUUCAUUUGGCCACCAUAGUGAAAGCAACGGAUAACUUUUCAAGCAACAACAAGUUGGGACAAGGUGGUUUUGGACCGGUAUAUAAGGUAUAUAACAACGUGCUUCAAAGCAGAGUGAUCAUCUACUAUGAGAUAUUCUAACUUCAGUAAAUAACAAUUCCCAGGGUACAUUGAUUGAUGGGCAAGAAAUAGCAGUGAAAAGACUUUCAAAAAGUUCUCGGCAAGGAUUGACAGAGUUCAAGAAUGAAGUUAUCUUGAUAGCUAAGCUUCAGCACAGAAAUCUUGUUAAACUUCUUGGCUGUUGCAUUCAAGGAGAUGAAGUAAUGUUGAUCUAUGAAUUCAUGCCCAACAAAAGCUUAGAUUGUUUUAUUUUCGGUUUGUACCCCAAGAACUGGUUAGAGUUUCUUGCAGUUAGAUUGCUUGUUCUAUGAUGUUUCAUUUAUACAUCAGAAUAACAUAACAUUAUGAUAAAUUGAUUAGAUCAAACAAGAAACAAAUUCCUGGACUGGCAGAGACGUAACCUCAUUAUCGGUGGCAUUGCUAGAGGACUACUUUAUCUUCAUCAAGACUCUAGACUAAGGAUUAUCCAUAGAGAUCUCAAAGCCAGCAACAUAUUAUUAGAUAAGGAUAUGAACCCCAAAAUUUCAGAUUUCGGAAUGGCUAGACUGUUUGGAGGAGAUCAAAUUGAAGCAGACACAAAUAAAGUGGUCGGAACAUAGUAAGUACACUCUACACCUAUUUUGUUACAAUGUAUAAUCUCCUCACAUUUAAACUUUUUCUGAUAAUGUUUUUCCGCAGUGGAUACAUGUCCCCUGAGUACGUUGUUGAUGGGCGUUUCUCACUGAAAUCCGACGUCUUCAGCUUCGGUGUUUUAGUCUUGGAGAUAAUAAGUGGGAAGAAAAAUAGAGGAUUCUCCCACCCGGAUCACUACCAUAAUCUUCUUGGACAUGUAAGGAUAAAAUUAAACAUGUUAAUUUAAUUAUGUAUUGACAAUUUUUAUCAUAACAAGUUUUUGUUUUCAAGGCAUGGAAACUGUGGACGGAAGAGAGGGCAUUGGAGCUUCUUGACAAUAUGUCAGAUCGCCCGUAUUCUGUAUCUGAAGUAUUGAGAUGCAUUCAUGUGGGUCUGCUAUGCGUGCAACAAAAGCCGGAAGACAGACCAAAUAUGUCAUCUGUGGUUUUGAUGUUGGGCAGUGAGAAUUCAUUGCCUGACCCAAAGCAACCUGGUUUUUUCACGGAAAGGAAUAUGCCCGCAGUGGACUCUUCAUCAGGAAAUCAUGAAUCAUCGUCUAUAAAUGACCUAACUAUUUCAGAGCUAGAUGCACGGUAGAAGAUUGGCUCUGAUGGUUAAAAGGAAGAGCUAUAUAUAUAUAUAUAUAUGUAUGUAUAUUCUAGCCAAAUCCAAGGCAUAUAACAGAAAUUAAAUAUUUUCUGCUAUAAUUAUGUUGAUGUAUUAUUUUUACCUGUCUACAAGUCCUCUGCAAGUACUAGUGCGAAUACAGAUAGACAGAAUGCUUGAGGAUUCACAUCUCUGGACUGCACAAUAUCUGUACUUGUUUGCUUCGAGCCGUCGAAUUUAAUGCACGGAUCUGGGUUCAAGAUCUAUAUAUGCUAGAGCCUCACUGGCUUCUAACCCAAAAAGAAUCCAUUAGAAUUGUCAAUAUAUAAUUAGUAAAAAAAAAUUACAUACAAUUUAAACAAUCCAAAUUUAUAAUUCAAAUUUACAUUAUAUUUUUCAUAACAUGUUAAAAAAAUAUAUUUUUAACAACCAUACAAGGAGCUAUAGUCUUUCCUUGAUUGAUUUCAUAGCACCUUAAACUUAGCCUUGACCUAACCCUUUUAGGGAUAAAUAUUAUAGGUACGAGUACCUUGAUGAUACUUAGCCUUUGUAGGGGAAUCCGACCGGUGAUGUUUUGAUAUUUGCUCAUAGUAGGCUAAGCACACUAACACAAUAUUUAACGUGGUUCGACAAACCGCCUACAUCCACGGGAGAAACCAUUUGAUUAUAUAGGGAGAGAACAAGAUUUACAACAGUAGAGGAGGAGGAAUCAUCCCCUCUUUGGCAACUCUCAACCUCACUCUAUUUUUCUCUUCUCAAUGCUGCAUUGGCAGCUACUGCUGGCUGCCUUGGCAGCCCACUCUCUCUUACAUUUCUCUCAUAUUUGGCUCUACUUUCACUCUCAUUUUGCUCUCUAAAAUCAUGCCUCUUUUAUAGGCAUCAAUGGCAGCUCCUCUUGCUCCUUUGUCAGCAAUGGUGGCUUCCAAACUUACCAAACUUUGACAAUAGACAAUGGUUGUUGGCUGCCACCAACAACCCACCAUUAUAGCCUCAUUCUUUGACUCUCACAUAGCAGUCAUCUUCUUUGACAUAGGCAGCCACAUAAUUGGCAAUAUUCCAACAAUCACCCCCUUUGCCAUUUAUGUGGGGCAACUAUCCUCUUGCUUCUUCAGCACAUGCUUGCAUCUUGCAGCUUUUCCAAGCUUACCAUUCAACCAGAUGGUUUGUCACAUCUCAUCUGAAGAGUGUUUAAUGCUUGUCUCUGGAACAACAUUCCCCUUCAAGCAUAUCAACCAUGCUUGGCCUGGAAUGAUUUAUCAAGCCUUACAUCAAGGCUUACAACACCCCCUCAAACUGAUAUUCCCAAGUGCGAUAGUCAUUGAGUAUUUUAAUGUGAUCACGAGCUCACCACUCUUCCAAGAGCCUACUCAUCCAGGAGUUGCGUCUGCCCUCUAUUCCACCCUAGGAACCACGCCUUACUUCUCCGUGAGUCUCUCACUCUUAGUCUCAAGAGUCCGGGUAGCAUCCACCUUUACUUAUGGGGGCAGCCCAUUAAAGGUUGAUCCAUAUCUAUCUUCAUACUCUGAGUAUUACAAUGCUUUCACCGAGCUCACCACCUUGACAAGAGUCAACUUGUUCCCGGAACCUGCGCAUGCCCUCUGCUCCUUCAUAGCAGUCGCGUCUUAAUGCUCCACAAGUCACCCACUUAUUGUCCAAGGUAAAUGUCUUCUAGCUCAUUGAUCUUUAGCAUGGGGGCAAUAUCCAUGAAAGUCAAUCCUGCAUUUGUCUUCAUACUCAUCAUAGACUCUUCAUUGGCUAUACACUUGUCCACUUAUAUCCAGCCAUCAUAUUGGCUCUAGGGCUGGGCUCUUUUCAUGGCCCUCACACCUUCUCGUGAGGUGUCUCCGCUCGUCGUCAUGCGAUAGUCUGAAUCUGGGCUAAUAUUAUAGCCCUCACACCGUCCAUCCGAGGUGUCUCCGUUCAUCGUCAUGCGGCUUCAUGUCCCUCACACCUUCUCCGAAGGUGUCUUCGCCCGUUGUCAUGGGGCAGUCUGAUCUUGGGCUCAUAUCAUGGCCCUCACACCUUCUGUCUGAGGUGUCUCCGCCUAUCGUUAUGAGACGGCCUGAACAUGGACUCAUAUCAAGGUCCUCACACCUUCUGUCCAAGGUAUCUCCGCCUGUCGUCAUGAGACGGUCUGAACAUGGACCCAUAUCAUGGUCCUAACACCUUUCGUCUGAGGUGUCUCCGCCUGUUGUCAUGAGACGGUCUGAAUCUGGGCUCAUAUUAUAGCCCUCACACCUUCCAUCCGAAGUGUCUCCGCUCAUCGUGGAGCGGUCUGAAUCUAGGUUCAUAUCAUGGCCCACAAACCUUCCUCUAAGGUGUCUCUGCCCGUUGUCAUGGGACAGUCUGAUCUUGGACCCAUAUCAUGGUCCUCACACCUUCUGUCUAAGGUGUCUCUGCCUGUUGUCAUGAGACGGCCACAUCCUCCUUCAUCGGGGAUGUCUCUAGUGGCUCUAAGAUUCUCUACCACCAUGUGGACUUGGGAGAGAUUACUGCCACUGAUUACAUAGAAAGAUAAAGUUGUGGCAUACUCCUCGCAAUCCUCCACCUCGAUUUCUAUGUCUGGAGCUUCUACGCCUUUCUACUUGAUAGCUCCACCUACACCACUCUCUUUAGUGUCUUCGCCUUUCAUCAUAGGCGGUCACCUUUGUCACAGGCGUUUGCACCCCCUCAAUUAGGUGCCUCUGCAACAGCUCAUCUUUCCAUCAUUGCAUGCAUUGGAAAGGUCCUCGCUUGUUGCCUUCAUCAAGAGCACAAGAGAUUUCUUGUUGUAUAACUUUUUCACACCGUCUCUACUCUAAGCUUCAUCUGGGAACUCUUAUUCUCCUUGCACCUACUGUCUCAUUACAGUACCUCGUUGGAUCCUACGGGUACUCCUGCACAAUCUCCGUGUGCUCUCGUGCAAUUCCGGUUCUCUAGAUUUCUCCCUAUUUUUUGCUUUUAUGUUUGACAACAGCUCAUCCUGUCACAACAUUUAUCCAAGUCAAAAUAGGGUGCCAAUCUUUAUCCCCUUGUUGUAUUUCUCUUCCAUUAUCAGGGUCUUCAUUAAUUCUCCCUUCGAGAAAUUACAGUCACCGAAUCUAACUUCUUUGGAGAAAUCACCACUCCAUUAGAUCCUUGAACAUACGGAACCCAACUGUUCCUUUAUGUCGUCAUCUUGCUAGUCUUCAACAGUUUCAUUACAAACUGUUACAUAUACAAAAAUAGUACUGUGUGGAUGAUCCUUCAACUAAGCAAGUUCCCAGGAAAGAUUUGGAGGGGUCACACUGGUCCCGUGAUUAGUACUUAAAAGUGCAUGUUUAUCAAGGUUUUAUAUCAUCAUUUUGCACUUGAAGUAUCAAUAACUCCUUAACUAAAGCAUGUUUUAUAAUAACAAGUUUGAUACUAUAAGAUACCUUAAUUUAUGGUAAAUGCUCAUCUUAUAUGCAGGCCUAUCACAUAAAUAAAAUGAUUGAUUGAUGAGUUUAAGUAUUGAAAGUGAAAGGACAAAGAGAUGGCCAAACUUAGAAAAGAGAUGUCGGUGCAGUCCAAACCAGAACAUUGCUCGGUAAUUGGAUCAUAUUUGGAGCUCUAGAUCUCAGAUUUAGGUCCAUUUUAUAUGGAUGGAAAGGUAAUACAAAGGCCUACAACUUUCAUGAGGAGCCUAAGAUUUAAAAAGGUCGUUUUGAAGUCCAAAUUGAAGGAACAACGAAGAAGUCCGAAGCUGUCCUGCAGCCCAGACACUAUUUAGUGUUCAACCCAUAUCUUGAGUUCUAGAAGUCCAAAUGACCUCAUCUUUUUUUUUUUGGAAAGCUGAGACAAUUUCCUAGAACAUUCCUGAGGAUUCUGGGCAAAUUAUUAUGUUAGAAAUGACGUUUUGUUCAGACAAGAAGAUAAGGAUUGUCACCAAGUCAAGAUGUGGCCACCCACUCAUCAAUUAGUCAACAAAUCAAUAGUUCUAAAUUUUGGCCUAUAAAAGGAGGCACUUACCAUGUAUUGAGGCAUCUUGGUUUCCAGAUCAAGAUCAUGCUCUUGCUUUCUCUCUUUGUAUUGCUUAUGUCUUGCUUUCAUUAAUAUCAAGUUUAUGCACUUCAUUUUCUUUCCUUUACUUAGUUAACUUCUUUCUCAUUUAUGUUCUUAUCUUGUUCAUUUAUGUUUCUUUCUUUCAUUAUGUUCAGCUAAGUUAAUUAUGUCAAGGUGAAAAGGGUACACUAAUGGUGUAAGAAUAAGUAUAAUAUAAACUUAACAUGGACCUUAACGUUGGAUACUAACAUGUUUUAUAUUUGUUAUCUUGUUCACUUUUAAUACUUUGCUUGUUAAAUGGUUAAUCUAGAUUUAUGUUAUAUAACAUUUGGUACAACAAAUACUUGGUACUUUCAUAGCCCAUACUGUAUGGUAUAACCGACACCUGAGCUAUAAAAGGAACUUGAUUUGUUGUUAACAUAAGUUAUAAUCAUGAAUGCCUGCCAACAUUUACAAGUAUUAGCUUUAUUCGAAUAAGAUAACUAAUGUAAUCAUGUUAACAAUUUAUAAUCUGAUUGGAACCUCCUUUAUGUGUGGUUUCCAAUUGAGUAAUAAGAGUUUAUACUAUACUUGUUUGAAAUACCAUUAGUGGAUCCUCUAACCUUGACAUUUGUUGUUGUUAUUGUUUAAUCCUUACGUUAAUCUUUCAUCUCAAAGUUCUCAUUAAUUUCUUCAUCUUCUGCUUUUAUUAUUAUUAUUAUUAUUAUUAUUAUUAUUAUUAUUUACAUUCUGUUUAUAUUAUAUAAUAUAUAUCUUUGAUCUUUUCAUAAACUCAGUAUAUAGGCUGGAAACCUGUGACCCGAUCUUUUAGAUUAUUCUCAGGUAUAACAACGCCACGUACUAAGUAUUAUAAUUAUUAUUGUUGUUAUUAUUGUUGUUGUUGUUAUUGUUGUUGUAUUGUUAUUUAUAAUUUAUACAAUUAAUCUCUAUGUGGUUCGACCCCGGUUUUGCCGGGUUAUUUAUUACUUCGACACUCCUGCACUUGGGAAAAGACAUCAAGCUUUAGGUCGUGUCAAGUUUUUGGCGCCGUUGCCGGGGAGGUAAAUUCUUGUAUAAAUUAUAAUUUUUAUUUCUUUUUAUUUUUUUCAUUUUAUUUAAUUUUGUUUCUUUUCUUUUCUUGCUUUUAUUCUCUUUUUACACGUGCAUGAGAGUUUGGUCACGUAUAUUAAGUGGUCGACUUUGUAGGGUAUCCUCAUCAUUUUUAGAAAAUAUGGCUGAAGAAGAUAAUCAAUCGCUUCAUAAUGAGAAUAAUGAGAAUAACCGUAUGAGAACACUUAGAAAUCACAUGAAUCCCACAAGAACAAGUGCACCCUCAUGCAUAGUUUUCCCUUUCCUUUCCUGGUAUGAUACAAGCAUGAGGCUAGUAGAAUGCAAGGACAAGUGUCUAAAAAACUACAAUUGCACGGCAUAUGCAAAUUCAAAUAUCACAGGAGAAGGCAGUGGCUGCAUACUCUGGUUCGGUGAAUUGGCUGAUAUGAGAGAGUUUAGUUAUGGGGGCCAAGACCUCUACAUAAGGAUGCCACCACCUUUGAAAACAGGUAUUUUUCAAUAUUCUUCCCAUGAUUCUCAAGCAGGGUAUUUUUUUUCACUCUUUCUCUCUGUUUCUUUGUUUUUUUUUUUGAAAUGAGGAAGUUGUAUGUUCCUUGAAUGUUUUCCUAACUUCGUGUCCUCAUUUCCUCAUUCUAUUUACAAAUAAAACAGAACUCCUUUCUGUGUUUAUUGUGGGUUUUCAGAUCAGGCGACGUCAAACACAAAUUCUGGUAAGAAGAAGCUUUCAGGAAUCAUACUCGGUUCCACACUCCUUGCUGGAGUGCUUAUGGUAGGACUAAUCUUCUAUAUAUGGAGAAAGAAGCAGAAAAAGCAAGGUAGUGUACUGUGGACAAUUCUUCUUAUUCCAGAACAUGGACCUUGUUGAUAUAUAUAGUAUGCAUGGUAGAAUUUUAUGUUAGUCAUCGAUAACAAAAUGAAGCAUUUGUUAGAUCAUUGCUGACAACUGAUCAAUCUUCUGCUAUUCAGAAAUAGAGGAAGACAUGGAGUUGCCAUCGUUUCAUUUGGCCACCAUAGUGAAAGCAACGGAUAACUUUUCAAGCAACAACAAGUUGGGACAAGGUGGUUUUGGACCGGUAUAUAAGGUAUAUAACAACGUGCUUCAAAGCUGAGAGAUCAUCUACUAUGAGAUAUUCUAACUUCAGUAAAUAACGAUUCCCAGGGUACAUUGAUUGAUGGGCAAGAAAUAGCAGUGAAAAGACUCUCAAAAAGUUCUCGGCAAGGAUUGACAGAGUUCAAGAAUGAAGUUAUCUUGAUAGCUAAGCUUCAGCACAGAAAUCUUGUUAAACUUCUUGGCUGUUGCAUUCAAGGAGAUGAAGUAAUGUUGAUCUAUGAAUUCAUGCCCAACAAAAGCCUAGAUUGUUUUAUUUUCGGUUUGUACCCCAUGAACUGGUUAGAGUUUCUUGCAGUUAGAUUGCUUGUUCUAUGAUGUUUCAUUUAUACAUCAGAAUAACAUAACAUUAUGAUAAAUUGAUUAGAUCAAACAAGAAACAAAUUCCUGGACUGGCAGAGACGUAACCUCAUUAUCGGUGGCAUUGCUAGAGGACUACUUUAUCUUCAUCAAGACUCUAGACUAAGGAUUAUCCAUAGAGAUCUCAAAGCCAGCAACAUAUUAUUAGAUAAGGAUAUGAACCCCAAAAUUUCAGAUUUUGGAAUGGCUAGACUGUUUGGAGGAGACCAAAUUGAAGCAAACACAAAUAAAGUGGUCGGAACAUAGUAAGUACACUCUACACCUAUUUUGUUACAAUGUAUAAUCUCCGCACAUUUAAACUUUUUCUGAAAAUGUUUUUCCGCAGUGGAUACAUGUCCCCUGAGUACGUUGUUGAUGGGCGUUUCUCACUGAAAUCCGACGUCUUCAGCUUCGGUGGUUUAGUCUUGGAGAUAAUAAGUGGGAAGAAAAAUAGAGGAUUCUCCCACCCGGAUCAUUGCUAUAAUCUUCUUGGACAUGUAAGGAUAAAAUUAAACAUGUUAAUUUAAUUUAAUUAUGUAUUAACAAUUUUUCUCAUGACAAGUUUUUUGUUUUCCAGGCAUGGAAACUGUGGACGGAAGAGAGGGCAUUGGAGCUUCUUGAAAAUAUGUCAGAUCGCCCGUAUUCUGUAUCUGAAGUAUUGAGAUGCAUUCAUGUGGGUCUGCUAUGCUAUGGUUUUGAUGUUGGGCAGUGAGAAUUCAUUGCCUGACCCAAAGCAACCUGGUUUUUUCACGGAAAGGAAUAUGCCCGCAGUGGAGUACUCUUCAUCAGGAAAUCAUGAAUCAUCAUCUAUAAAUGACCUAACUAUUUCAGAGCUAGAUGCACUGUAGAAGAUUGGCUCUGAUGGUUAAAAGGAAGAGCAUAUAUAUAUAUAUAUAUAUAUAUAUAUAUUUCUAGCCAAAUCCAAGGCAUAUAACAGAAGUUAAAUAUUUUCUGCUAUAAUUAUGUUGAUGUAUUAUUUUUACCUGUCUACAAGUCCUCUGCAAGUACUGUUGCGAAUACAGAUAUACAGAAUGCUUGAGGAUUCACAUCUCUGGACUGCACAAUAUCUGUACUUGUUUGCUUCGAGCCAACGAAUUUAAUGCACGGAUCUGGGUUCAAGAUCUAUAUAUGCUAGAGCCUCACUGGCUUCUAACCCAAAAAGAAUCCAUUAGAACUUCUUACUAGAUUUAUAUGUACAAUUCAAUAAUUCUUUUGUAUUGAAAAGUUUUAUAUUAUAUUUUUCUCUCACAUUUUAUUUAAAUCACUCAUUGAUUAUAAUGUUGUUGACUUUCUUUGUUAGAUUCUAAUGUAAUUUAAUUUUUUGGCUAGAAUUGUCAAUAUAUAAUUAGUAAAAAAAAAAUUACAUACAAUUUAAACAAUCCAAAUUUAUAAUUCAAAUUUACAUUAUAUUUUUCAUGACAUGUUAAAAAAAUAUAUUUGUAACAACCAUACAAGGAACUAUAGUUUUUCCUUGAUUGAUUUCAUAGCACCUUAAACUUAGCCUUGACCUAACCCUUUUAGGGAUAAAUAUUAUAGGUACGAGUACCUUGAUGAUACUUAGCCUUGACCUAACAAAUUUUCAUAUCAUAAUUCCAAAAUUUUGAAAAUAAAAAUAAAAUGCAAAAACUAAAAUAGAAAAUCAAAAAUAAAAUGAUAUCAAAAAACCCUUCUAACUUUUCUUUUUUAUGUAAGGGUUGAAUUAUAUUAACUCAAUUAACCCAUCUUUCUAAAUUAAGUUAUAUAUUUUUUAAUAAUUUAUGUAUUUUAUCUCAAAUAGAUAAAACAUUAAAAAUAGAAGAGUUAUUAUGGAUCCCACAAAAUAAUAGCUGUAAAGCAUAUAUAGCUUGAUAUUAUGACAAAAAGAUGUCAUAUUGACGUUUUAAUUAACUUAUUAUGUUAUAAUGGAGGAACCUUUACAAAAUAAAAUAAAGAGAAGAGGGAUUUAAUCAAUAUUAAAAUAUAAAAAGAGUAGUUGCUAUAAAAAUAAAUAAAUUGAAGAGUACAAAGAUGAAAUAUGAGUGGAACCUGCUAUUUAAUAUGAAUUUUAUGGUUUCGUCCAAACUGGCCACAACAAUCAUAUGGUUUCGUUCAAAGUUCAAACUCGUGUAUGGAUGGGCUUCAAAUGAAAGCCUCUUAUGGAUUUUGGAAAAAGAAUAAUUUAUACUAGGAAAUAGGCCAAGAAAUCAAGGAUGGAAAAACGAGAGAGAAGAAAUCUAUGACAUAGUAUACAACUUGGAGAAAUAUUAUCAAAAUUAAAGGUUCAAGAUGUUGAUAGAAUCGGUAUUUAUUAUAGACGUGAAAAAAUACGAUUAAUGUUUGUUUUUAGUUUAAUUUAGUCUUUGCUUUGUUUUAUUUUGCAUGUUUUAGGGCUUUAGUUGUAUUUGUAUGCUUUUUUUUUGUCAUUAAAGGACUGCUAAAAAAAAAAAUAUUGUAAUUGGAAAAACAUCUAUCUGUAGAUGCAAAACGAUAGAAAUAUCUAUGAUAGUUUGCCAUCUUGAAAAAUGGCAAGUAAUGUGAUCAAUAUGCUACGGCAAUUAUGUAAAGCAAAGAGAAAGAAAUUACACUUAAUUUGUUUUUUGUAAAAAAAAAAAAAAAAAAAAACCUUUGAAUGACAUUACACUUUAAACUUUUAAAAAGUCUUUUAUGAAAAAACUUAUAUAUAUAAAAAAACACCCUUCACCAAAUUUGUCCAAGGCGGGUUAAGGGUAAGCUUCCACCAACCUUUGCUAGCAUUUAAUAAUUGCAAGAAAAUGUUCCCUCUUGACUUUGCCGUCCCGCUGGGGACGUAACAUUGUACUAAGAAUUUAUCAGGAUCCAAUGUAUCCAAAGCUCGAAGGUCAUGGGAAGCUGAAACAUUGAUGAUAUGACCCCACGUAUCAUUAUGAUGAUGAACAAGAACUUCCAAUAGCAGACCACUGUUUUGAGCUGCAUGGGAUCAAUCCAAUCAAGCUAGGUGUAAUAUUAUGGUGCCAUUUUGCUUGUAAAUCCUGUUCUAGCCGGGAAAGUGGGUAUGUCCUGUACUAUUUUAAAAAACAAAAUAAGGUGAAGCGAAUUUUAUCCCUAAGAGGAGGAUCUCGAAUCAUUUUGAAUUUGUUGUUCAAAUUUCAAUUAAGAUAUCCUAGGUUUACCCGUUUUCAAAUAAUAUUUUAGCGAUUCAAAAUAAGGUUGUUGAAAGUUACAUCAAUGGAGAGAGGGAUGUUAAGGCUAGGGUUGACGCAAUGAACGGUGAGAGUCGUUCAAGGAGUUGAACUUCAAACAUUUUACCUGAUGCUGCACACAUUUAUAGCUUAUGUACGCUGCCCAUAUGAGAGUCCCAAAUUGGACCCAUUCGUAGCGCUGUUUCUCUGUCAUUCGUCGACUGUAGUUAUCAAUGAACUAGCAAGCUUUAUUAGAGUUCUUGCAUGGCUGACAACAGAUAAGCAAGUUAGGCUCUUAAUGUUGGAUGUGUUUUUGGAUUUCUUGGGCUUUAGCCUAGCUGUUAAUGGCAUGUCUUUGUCAGGUGCCCUACUCAUGCGUAAUUUGGAGACCAUAUGAUAAUAUUUCCAGCAAUUUAUAGAAACUAGCUCCAAGUUCUCGAUCCGUUUUCAUAUUGACAAAGAGAAUGGCCGCACAAGUGCUAAGGGCUCAAGGUUAUCUUUCGUCCUUAAUUUGAUUCCCGACGGGGUUUGCUCACCUUUUUCUGAACACACUCUUCCUGACCUUCCAAUGGUGAACAAGUCAAAUCUUUGAUGGAGAUUUUAGCGAUUAAAUAAGGUUGUUGAAAGUUACAUGAAUGGAGAGAGGGAUGUUAAGGCUAGGGUUGACGCAAUGAACGGUGAGGAUUAGAUAAGGAGAAUGUGGAUGACUUGUGUUCUCUAGUCAAUUGAGGGUUGACAGGUGCAACGAAGGGUAUUAAACGGCAGCACUUAGGCUAUAGAGAAGAAGACUUGGUCCAAGAUCAUGCUAGAUCUUUACAACUUGACAGAAUCAGUCCAUUCCAAAUUCAAGUUUGAUGUUUGUUUUAUUUAUAGGACCAGGAAUAAAUCAUGAUAUUCUUAAAGCAUAACCAAAUUUAAAUACAUACCUACUGUUAUGUUUUUAUAUAUAUAUAUAUAUAAACAUAACAGUAGGUUUAGAUUGACUUUAAAUGAUAAAUAACAUUUUGUAGUUUUAUACCGACGGAAAAUACUCCGUCGGCGAUAUAGUGUAUGACCGACGAUCCAUAUCUGUCGGUAAAGUUGUCGGUGAGUGUUUGAAAUACCGACCGAAUAUAUCCAUCUGUAAAUUCGUCGGUACGUUUAGCAGCUACUGUCAAAUGCCGACGGAUUAAUUCUGUCAGUAACGCUGUCGGUGAGUAUGAAAUACCAACCAAAUGUAUCCGUCUGGAUAUUCAUUGGUGAUGGUGGCAGCUACUGUCAAAUGCCGACGGAUUUAGUCCGUCGGUAAAUCCCUUUGUAAUUGUUUUUUUUUUAAUUUUGUUUUUUAAAAAUUAUUUAGAAUACAUAAUAUAAAAUAAUAUAAAUUAAUGGUAAUAAAAACCAAUUAUGGAAAUAAAAUUUAUAUUAAGCAUCAAAAACAAAAAAUCAAAGUUAAAUAAUAUUCAUUACAAAAUGAAUGUGUUUCAAAAAAACAUUAAACGAAAUUUUAAAUGUAAAUAAUGUUUAUUAAAAAUUAAUAUAAAAGGUGGAGCUGGAGGAGGAGGAGGAGGCUGGCGGUCAUACGGCCAAAAAGGAUUAGGCGCACAUGUUCCACCUUGUGCCAUGUUCAUGACCAUUUCACGAAGCUCUUCAUAGGCCGCUCUUUGUUGUUCAGACUCCGCUCUGUGUUGCUCUUUGAGUUGUUCGUACACCACUCUUUGUUGUUCUUUGAGUUGUGUGUAUGCCUCUGAUAGGUGGUCAUACUUUUCGGUGAGCUGAGCCGUGUGUUGCUGUAAGGCCACAAACUACUUAGAUUGGGAGCUCCUGACGGUUGAAGCACCACUGGCCUACCGCAAGUUGUCGGUCGUAGUGUUGGAGAGCCCAUAAACCUGAUUUUUAUCAAGUCCACCUAACGAUCCAGCCUCCAUCCACAAAUCCAGAUCGAAUUCUGAAUGGGUCAAAGGAUCGUCCCCGUAUCUCUCCCUCAACCGCUUAUUAUAGGUGUCCUGAAAAUAAAAAAAGUAAUCAUCAUAUUCAAUUCAAUAAACAUAAUAAUAACUUACAAAAUAAAAUGGUUGAACAAACAUACCAUAAAAUGUUGAGCAUGGCUGUCAACGAGCUGUUGCGCCCCCUUUUGGCGGUCUUGACUCCGCACGUGCAUCUCCACAAACAGCUCCAUCGGGCUCGGCUCACGUCCAAGACACGUAGCCUAUAAUGAAAAAAAAUUAUUAACAGCAAAUUAAUUGAAUGAUAUAUUUCAUUUAAAUUAAUCUUACCAUUCGUUUCGUAUGUGCAACAAACGGAACGGAGUCGCCGGUGUGCGUUGUCACCGAGCCAUGAAUUGGCCGAUUCGGGUUGCCAGCACCGGACUGUGAGCGUCGUGUGAACCGCUCAGACAUCACGUGCUGAAGAUAGUGCGGCCAUAUAUCUUCCUGGAUGUAUAUCGGUUUGAAAUCCCUCCAAACCGCAACAUCGUUCCAGCCUUGGAACCCCUUCUUCCUCGCAUUGUUUUUUGCUUUUUUUUUAGCUUCGUACCAAAAAUCACGCAACCUACUUCACGCAAGCAAAAAUUACAUUUCGAAACAUAAAUUUUUUUGUAAAAAAAAAAAGUUGUAUUGUUUUCGAUGUUACCUAGUUGCCGCGUGAUUUUCCCAAACCCUCCUCACAACAGUGUUAUGUUCAUCGUCCCAGCAGAAUCGGUUCUGUGUAUAAAAAAUUAAUUUUUUAAAAUGUUAAUAAUUUAUUUACAAUUAUAUUAAGAAUUUAUUAGAAAUAAACUGAAAAUUAUAUAUUAACACGAACCUGAAAUCUAGAAAACCAUGCAUUGAUUUGAGGCAUUCAUUCAGGAUGCCUCGAUAUCUAACUCUAUUGAAACAAUGGAAUCUCCAUCGACGAUUUAAACGCCGAUGAUAUUACUCGGGCAGCCUCAAUGUUUGUGAACUUGAAAAGAAAUGAAAUUAAGGAAAUAGUGACUAUUUCAUAAAUUAUGUUUUAAAUUUGUUUAAAAAAACAACACAAAAACCUUAACAAACCUACAUUGAAAGAUCGUCUUUCCAUUGUGCCUCGUACUUGUGGGUAAAUUGAUUCCGCUACGAAGGCACGCCGCUUAUGCGCUGUGAAACAGCGCUGGAAGAGGCAGCAUCGAUUGACGGCGCAGGUGGUGUAGGUGCCUCUUCUUGAGAGGCACCUAAGGAAAUAUCAUCCUCGCUGCUAGACGAACUUGAUUCGACCGGACGUGAACGACCAGCCCUGGUUUUCAUUUUGCGCAUCUACUCAAUUUUAUAUACAUAAUUAUAUAAUUAAAUGUAAAUGUUAAAAAAAAUUCGACAGCACCUCCCCUAUACUGGAUACUACCCAAAUCCACAAACUUACAAAUAUUAACAAUAGCCACAACCAAUUGACCCAAUCUAUUGACCCAAUCUAUACUAAUUAUUUUAACAUAUUCAAUUACUAAUCCUAAGGUAAAUUCAACAUUAACAAUUACAAUUCAACAAAUUAUUCAAUAAUUAUGCCAAUACAACAAAACAAUAAAUUCAAAAUAAAUAGAAACAAUUAAACACAAAUCAUGCAAUAAUAGAGUAAAAUUAAUAAUUCUUCCAACAUAUUCAAUUACUAAUUCUAAGGUAAAUUCAACAUUAACAAUAUUAAUUCAACAAAUUAUUCUAUAAUUAUGCCAAUACAACAAUAAAAUAUAUUCAAUAAAUGAAAAAAGAAUUAUAGCCUAACAAUUAAAAUCAAUGGAAACAAUUAAACACAAAUCAUGCAAUAAUAUAGAAAAAUUACUAAUUAUUCCAACAUAUCCAAUUACUAAUUCUAAGGUAAAUUCAACAUUAACAACAAAUAAUCAACAAAUUAACUAAUAACAAUUAUGCCAAUACAACAAUAAAAUAUAUUCAAUAAAUUAAAAAAAAAUUAUAAACUAACAAUUAAAAACAAUGGAAAUAAUUAAACACAAAUCAUGCAAUAAUAUAGUAAAAUUAAUAAUUAUUCCAACAUAUGCAAUUACUAAUUCUAAGGUAAAUUCAACAUUAACAACAAAUAUUCAACAAAUUAACUAAUAACAAUUAUGCCAAUACAACAAUAAAAUAUAUUCAAUAAAUUAAAAAAAAACUAUAGACUUUAGGGAAGAAAUAUGCAUACCUUAAUAAUUUGUUGAAACAAAAACUUUAUCUACAUUACAAAAAAAUACACCAAAACAAAAAAACAUAAAAAUAAUAAAAUAACGAAAAAUAAAAUAAAAUGAAAUAGGAAAAAACACAUACCUUUUAAUGUGAUGGAGAUUCACAACAAAGCUUGCUAGAGAUUCUAGGUGAAAGACUUGAAGAUUUGAGAGGAAACAAAUCAAAAUUCUAAGGUGAGAAACGGAGGAGAAGAAAAAAAGAACUAAAGGGGCGGACGCAAGAACUUAUAGGGCAGUUUUACCGACGGAAAUAAAAAUUAUUAUUAUUUAAAUUAAAUUCGUCGGUAACGUGUUAAAAAUCCGUCGGCAAUUUUUGAAUUUCGCGGUUCGUCGGUAUGCUGACUCGGUUAGAGGUUCAUUCAAUGCAGACCCUUUGGAAUUCGCACAUUCCGUCAGUAUUUUUGUCGGUAAGAUUUUCCCACCGACAAAUUACUGACGGCCAUAAUUACGUCGGUGAGGUCGUCGGUGAUUGUGGCGUUUCGCGUAAUUAUUGACGAACACUUUGUGAGAUGCCGACGGACUUUAGUCCGUCUAAAGUCCGUCGGUGAAUCCGUCAAUAUGGGCGUCGGUGAUUGUGGCAUUUCGCGUAAUUAUUUUCGAACUCUCUGUGAGAUACCGACGGAUAUAAUUACGUCGGUGAGGUCGUCGAUGAUUGUGGCAUUUCACGUAAUUAUUUUUUAAAUCUAUGUGAGAUGCCGAUGGACGUGAGUCCGUCGGUGUGUGUGUCGGUGAAUCUGUCGGUACGACGUCGGUGAUUGUGGCAUUUCACGUAAUUAUUUUCGAACUCUCUGUGAGAUGCCGACGGAUGUUAUUCCGUCGGUAUGGACGUCGGGAAGUUUGCAUUUUACAGGAAAAGUUGUAUUUGUAUUGCCUAUUUACCUUUCUACAAAAACUUAACUGAUAAACUGUCCAUCGCAUAAAACAAUAACAACAGUGCUUAAGCAAUAAAUAUUUUGUGUUACAAAAUAUAUCAUCCAUAAUCUAAAUUACAUGAAAAAAAAGGGUUUUACAUAGGGCUUCAUUUUGAUAGUUAGUCGGAAUUUUCUUCUUCUUCCUCAUCAAUUGAAUUGUCAUCACCUUCAUCGCAAUCUUUAAUAUGGAUAUCAUCUUCUUCAUUGACAUUUGCUUGUCCGCUAGAGCUCAGAACAACAUUCAACUCCUCUGCAUCAAUAUCAACAAGACUAUCAUCGAAAACAUGAAAAUUUGAAUUUUCUUCCAAUUCAAUCGAAGGAGCAACUCGAUAUGGUUCAACCAACUCACUAACUUGAAAGACUUCAUCUCGCACACUUGUGUCUUCGUUCUCAUCCUGAACAACCUCGACAUGACCCCGUGGUUUUGUUUUUAAAAUGGACAACCAAUUAACUCUUGAUCGAUCCUUUCUAAAUGAAAGGGUGUAUGUGUAAUAAACUUGUUGACAUUGCUUUGCGAAAACAAAGACAUUGUUUAUGUUGCGAAGUCUAGCUUUUGAGUUGAUUUCGACCAGACCAUAGUGUUGUAACCCAUUUUUGGGUCCCCACAUAAAAAAUAAUAAAAUACAAAAAAAUUCAAAAAAUUCAAAAAAAUAUAUUAUCAAAAAAUAUAACAGUGAAAAAAUGCCAGAGCGCCCUAAAAAUGCUCAAAAAUUGAUUGAGGAUGUUCAAAAAUCAAAAAUUAAUUUUUGACAGUAUAUCAUUGACUGAUGAGAGCCCCGAUGAUAAAGAAAAUUCAAUUUGUGGAAGAAAAAUGCAAAAUCAGAAGUUUAUGGACUCAAUUAAAUUUUAUUAAAGGUUUAAUUGCAUUUAUGAAGGUUUUAAUUGCAAAAACAAUUGAUUUUGGAGUUAUUUUGGGCUUUAAUUGGAAGAAAUUAAUUUUCUGGGGUCAAAUUAUAAUUUUCUUUCCCGUUUUUCGCGCAAUAAGACGCCCGCAAUCACCCACUUGUAUCCUCCUUUUUAUCCUUCUGAGUUGAUAGUAGAGGGGCGGCCGACAGUGGCCGCCCCACCACGACACCGCCCCCCUAUUUUUGCCUAUAAAAACAGGGGAGGGGCACCGAGAAAAAAAAAAACAAAGAACAAAAGGGAGAGGGAGACAAACCGAGAUAGAAGAGAAGAGAAGAGAGAGGGCAGAGAAGAAGAAGAAGGAGAAGAAGCAGCAGGGAAGAAAACGAAGAAAAACAGAAGAGAGAGAGAGAGAGAGAGAACCACCGCCGGCCUCCGCCACCGUGCCUACGCCGCCAGCAGCACCGCCACGACGUCACCGCAGGUAAUCUCUCGCCGCCCUGUCGCCUUCUCUGUUUGCUGCCUCCCUCAUUUGCAUGCAGAACAUGAAUAAAUUCACGUUCUGCAGCUGAAGAGGGCUGGUUACUGUGCUUAGGCACAGUAACCAGCCCAUUUGGUAAUGGGCCGGGUUGGCCCAUAUCAAUGGGCUGGGCCGGACCCGGCCCAUUUCAAUUUAUUUUUUUCUCAGAAGUUUUUUACAAUUUUUUUGGCACAUUUUUUUUUAUCAAUUUUGCUUAAUAUCGGUCUGUAUUUUACAUCGUAAAAAUAUAAAUUCGGUAUUAAAAUACUCGGUUUUCAUACGGUACUGUUCACACAACAACAAAAAAUCAAAAAUAUUUGUUUCAGCAUUUUAUAAUUUUUCCACGUAGUUUUUUAUGUCAUUUUGAUUAAUAUCGGGCAGUAUUUUUACAUCGUAAAAAUAUAAAUCCGGUAUUAAAAUACCCGGUUUUCGGCAAAAACUUCAAAAAAUAAAAAAAAUUGAAAAAAGAUAAAAAAAUGUUUUUGUGCAUACGGCCAAGUGUCUCAAAUCUAAAAUAUCAUAUUGUAUUUUUCAUAUGUCAAAAAACAAUAUUUUAGCAUGCAUUUUGGCUUUAAUAACCAGUUUAUUAAAGUCAAGAGAACAUUGGCCAAAAUCUCAAAAACAACAAAUAUUUUAUUUUGUUUGAUUUUAGUAUCAGGGAUUAUGAAUUUAUACGUAAAUCGUAUUCCUGAUAUUAAAAAGAUAUUUUCUUUUGACGGCUUCGAAUAGUUAGUUUUUUACCCGAUAAAGAUAAGGAUCUCCUUACAGGAGGACUUUUCUUAAACCGUAAACGAACCAACAAUUCAAAAACCACAACACGAUUUUAGAUUUUAUCAGACAUUAAAACAAUGCAGCCUACCUUAGGUAGGGCGUAGUUGGGGUGCUAAUACCUUCCCUUUACGCAACCAGUCUCCGUACCCGAUCUCUAAAGACCGAUUAAGGUUCCUAGUAACCAAAACACUAGGUGGCGACUCCCAUUCCAAUUUUUCACUUGUAGAGACAAGAAUUCCUUGUCUCUCCCUUUUUUCCAGGAAUAAAUAUUCCAAUUUUUCCUUGAGGGUGGACGAUCGCCGCGCCGCCGCACACGUGCGACACAUAGUGCGGAUGAACUCUGAUUCCUCUGUCUGUCGUGUCAUACCAAUAGUAUUUGAAUAAAAACACUUUAUUCUGCUCGCUAUGAUAUUGCAGUUCGAUGACCUCAUCUAAUCUACCAUAGUAGUCAACUUCUAACUCACUACUUGUGGAUUCCUUAACACAAACACCGUAGUUGUAUGUCUUUCUUCCUUGCCCGUAUUCUUCAGUUUGGAAAGCAUAUCCAUUGACAAAAUACCCGUUGUAGCACUUAACUUUUCUUUCAGGCCCAAGGCUUAGUGAAGACAAUGACUUAGGCACACUCAUUCCCAUUUGAUAAACCUUAUAUAUAUGUAAUGUACAUCAAUAAACAGUAAAUGAACGAGAAUCUCGUAAUGACAUGCAUACGUACAGUAAUUUUGCAAGUUAGAAUGAGUUUGUGAUAAUGCUUACAUGUGUUCUGAACCAUGUGGCAAAUUGUUCAUCUUCUAAUUGAAAGAUCUGGGAUUCGGUCAGCUGCGAGUUAUUGGAGAGCAAAUAUUAUCGAUGUUGCCUGCAAGUGAUAAUGAGUGUAUGAUAUUACAAUAUAUAAUUAGCAGUAUAUAACUGACAAAGUUUAAUUAGUAUUACACAUAUAUAAACUUACUAAAUAAAUGGUCUCAACUCAUCACAGUUAAAUAGAACAUAGUUGUGUACUUGUUUGAAUUAUAUUUCCGACAAAUAUCUUCCUUUUAUGAUAUUUUUAGGUGUGGGUCGUCCAGUAUUGGAGAAUAUUGACAAGUUUCCACUAGAAGGCACUUCACCGCCAUCAUCAUGCCGUGGAACGCGAUUGAUUCUUAUUCUCAGAUGAAGUUUGAAAUAGUAUGAGAUAAAUGUUGAGAUCUCCUCAACAAUAUAGGCCUCAGAUAUCGAAGCCUUAACAUGCGCCUUGUUCUUAACCUUUUUCUUGAGAUUAAACAAGUACCUGCAUUGAAUUACAAUUCAAGUAUUUUCAAUUAAGAAAAACAUAGAAAAUACUUUUAUAUAUGAAUUCCAUUGCAACUGUAAUAUCUAACCGUUCGAAUGGGUACAUCCAUCUAUACUGGACCGGUCCUCCAGCUUUUGCCUCGAACGGUAGAUGUAUACGGAGAUGCUCCAUUGAGUCAAAAAAUGAAGGAGGAAAUAUCAUCUCAAGUUUGCAUAGUGUCUCGACGAUAUUCAUUUGAAGCCUCUUAAUGUGCUCAACAUUCAACUUGCUGGAGCAUAUAUCUCUGAAGAAAUGACUGAUCUUCGUCAGUGCAUCCCAUAUUCCCUUUGGCAACAAAUCACGAAAAGCUAAUAGGAUGAGUGUUUACAUAAACACGUGGCAGUCAUGACUCUUCAUUCCAUACAAUCUGCAGUCCUUUAUGUUAACAAGCCUUGAUAUGUUCGAUGCAUGUCCAUCCGGAAAACGCAGACUCUUAAGCCUUUUGUAAACUAGCAGUUGUGCGUUUUUCUCUAACACGAAGCUUGCCUUUGCUUUUGCGACUCGUGACUGCUCAUAAACCAACUCCAUAUUUUUACGGUUAUAGUAUAAAUCUAUAUCCAAUCUAGCCUUGAUGUUGUCCUUUGUCUUCCCCUUCACAUCCAUGACUGUGUUGAAAAUAUUCUCAAACACGUUUUUUUCGAUGUGCAUGACGUCAAGGUUAUGGCUAAGAAGAUUGGUCUUCCAAUAAGGAAGCUACCAAAAGAUACUUCGCUUUACCCAGUUAUGGGUCAAACCAAAACCAGGAAACUUUUGCUUACGUAAUUGAAGGCUAAAAACAAUGUCACCGUACUCUGAUACAACAUGGUGCAAUUCUUCACCAGAAAGACGCGGGGAUGCAACAUCUUUUUCAACUCUGCCAACAAAGAAAUCUUUUCUGUUCUCUCUGUACCUAUGAUUAAGUGGAAAGAAGCGACGAUGACAGUAAAAAAUAAAAGCUUUACCUCCGUUUGCUAGUGUGAAUGCCUUGUUGUUUUCCAUGCAGUAUGGACAUGCGAGUUUCCCAUGCGUGCUCCAACCAGAAAGAAUUCCAUAAGCUGGAAAAUCAUUGAUAGUCCACAUCAAAGCCGCCCUCAUAAUGAAAUUUUGUUUCCUCAAUAUAUCAUAAGUCAGAGCUUCGGAGGACCACAACUGCGCCAGCUCAUCAAUCAAUGGUCGAAGACAAACAUCUAUAUUCCGCCCCGAGCUGCUUGGACCGGGUAUGACAGUAGAUAAAAACAUGAACUUCAGCCUCAUACACAUUCCUGGUGGCAAGUUAUAAACUGUGAGUAUGACCGGCCAACAAGAACAGGAAGAAGCAAAUGACCCUACUGGGUUGAAUCCGUCUGUACACAACCCAAGAUGCACAUUCCUUGCCUCAGCUAAAAAGUGAGGAUGCACACUAUUAAAGCAUUUCCACGCUUCACCGUCAGAAGGAUGCACCAUCACACCAUCAACCAUAUCAUGUGCUUGGUGCCAUGUCAUGUGCUCAACAGUCCUUGGUGACAUGAAUAACCUCUGCAGUCUAGGUGUGAUCGGGAAGUAUAUAAGUUUUUUAUAUGCCACUAGAGUCUUUUCCCUGCUAGUUCUGAGUUUGUAACGGGAAUGCCCGCAUGUCAUGCACUCGGUCAUCUCAGCAUUUUCAAGGUAGUAUAACAUGCAGAAGUUAGGGCACAUGUCAAUUUUCUGGUAUCCUAAACCGAGGGGUUUCAUCAUGGACUUCGCAGUAUAGAAGUUCUCUUUCAGCCUGUUCCCUUUAGGUAAAAUGCUUCUCGCCUAUUCAAUAAUUUUGUCAUACCCGGCCUCACUAAACCCGUGAUCUGACUUUAUGGUGAACACCUGUGCCAUGGUCGAUAAUUUACUGUGGUUUGUGCAGCCAUCCCAUAAUGGUUCAUCAAAAUCUUUCAACAAAUCAAAAAAUCUACCUGCAUUUGUAUUAGGUUCUUUUUCUACGAUUGGACAUUGACUGACAUUACCUUGAUUCAUUCUCAUUGCAUCCAUAACCAUAUAUCUGUAAGGAUUAGUUUUGUCAUUUGCCACUUCAUGCACGUUGCUAGCACUAGAAGUUGACCCAAGCAUCGUUUCUCCCAUUCUCCUAUUACUAACAAAUACAUCUCCAUGUGCAUACCAACACUAGUAAUCCUCCAUAAACCCUUUGUGUAAAAGAUGCAUCAUUACAACAUCUAGAUACAGAUACUUUUUAUUUUGACACUUCCUGCAUGGACACCUAAUACCGCCUCCAAUAAAAUUUCUGGGAAUAGAUGUUGCGAAAUUAAUAAAACCCUGAACCCCGUUACAAUAAUCCAUCCUCCGCAAUCCUUGGGGUGAAUCUAGAUACAUCCAUGAACGAUCAUCUAUGACUUCUAUCGAACCUCUAUAAAAUUAUGAUGACAUCAUGUAUUAAUUAACUAAGUUAGGUAAAUAAACUUGCAAAAAUAUUACUUUACCUCGAGAUUAUCCAACAAACCAAUCACAACUUCUCAUAAAUAUUAAAUAUUCAUUAUCAUUUAUCAACGUCCAUACAAAUUAAUAUAUAUAAACUUAUGGAAAUUACCAAACCACAAUACCAUCGAUAAAACUUAAAAUGGACCCAUUAAGCAAGCUAUUAAUUAUUUCAAAACAGCACAUGUAAUUCGGUAAUUCCAUAAAGUUUUAACAAUUUACAAACAAAUACAAUCUUACAAAAUCUAAAACAAACCAUAACAGGUAUAAAAUUAUACAUUCAUAUACUACAAGUUUGUUUGAGAAAUAACAAUAAAAUAUGUACAUCUACUAACAAAAUACAUAUAAUAAAAAAAACAACAAAAUUGACAUUUAAAUGUUAAAAUUUAAAAAGAUAGAAUUACUUACAAAAAUUGAUAAAAUUCGUUAGCAAAUCAGAACACGGAUGUUGUGACCACAAAACUUCAAGAAAUAUAACUUGUUGUGCUGAGAUGAGGAAGAUUUUUGUUUGGGUGCUGGUUGUUUGCAGAUGGGGAGAGUUGGGAUUAGGAAGAAGAAGGAGAAAUAGGAGAGGAGAGGGUCGGCAGGUAGGGAAUUAUAUUAACUUUUUUCCGACGGUUUCACUGACGGAUUAUUUCGUCGAUGAGUCUGCGGCUUUUCUGACGGAAAAAUCGACACGUCACCUUACGGAUCUGCCAUUUCAAAUUCGUCGGUAUUUUUUACGGUGAACCAGUCACGUCACUGUACGGGCCUGCCAUUUUGAAUCUGUCGGUGAUUCCGUCGGAAAAAACCACCCUGCCAAAACUUCCACGUCAGCGACUGAUACUCUCUGAUAAAAGCAUAAGCCAAACUUGUGUAUAUAUAUUCCUCAUUAAUGUAUUACCUUAUAUGUGUAUAUUGAACGUUAUCUACUCAAUGAGUUGUUGAACUCAUCCUCUUGUUAUUUAUUAUUUUUAGGCUUAUAGCUUCGUUAAUAGGUCGCUUUUGUGGACUUUUAGAACAUGCUCUUUGUUGCAAUUAACAUUAUUUCGUUAUGUCUAGUUAGAGCUCUACAAUUACAUAAUUUGUAUUAACUUUAUUAUAAAGACAUUGAUUUACAUUAUUAUCAUUGUUCCGUUACUCUAAAUGAGUUAAUAGGAAGAGAAGUUUGUAUAUAUGAUUAGGUUUGCAUAGGUAAAGAACCUGGUGGAGGCCUUGUCUAUUUGUCGGUCAUGGAUCCAAGGUUCGGGUCAUGACAAUUAACUUCCUAAAAAAAGCAUGAUUUAUAAUCAAUUAUAUAUAAAAAAAGUGUUCUAUUAUUAAGACUCGUCUAAUUAGUUUUCAUUUACUAGAAAAUGCAAACUUUCUUUCUGCACUUUUUACCAGGUGAGGUGCUUCCGGUCUAAUAACCCGAGUUAUAGGUUUAGAAAGUUAACGCUGGUUAAUAAUUUUUUUCUACUUAUUUUCUUUUCUGAUUUCAUUAUUUGACAUUGAUUUUUUUUUAAUAGGCUUUAUAGUUUUUUUUGUUUUUUUUAAAUAAGAUUAUAUUAUUUUCAUAACCUGAACUAUAAAUUUAAUAUAUUAUCCUGGGUUAACUCAAUCCUUUUCCGACCGCGCGGUAGUGCAGGUGGGCAUUAGUGCAAUAGCUAUUUGAAGGUUUUUUUUUUUUUCCAACGGGUAAAGUUAUGUUAGAGUUAGUUUAUACAUUAACUGACGCUAAAUCUUAUAAAUCUUUUCUCGAGAGAUCUUAAAAACAUAUCCUCUGCAUCAAUCCUAGUAUAUUUAAUAAAUUUCAGUAAAUGUUUGUCUUAAAAUUUGGCGCAGAACAAAUAGUUAGAGUUGCUAUUUGAAGUGGUGAAAUGGUAAUAAUAAUAUGACAGACUUCUACUCUUUCUCCGUUGAUCAAUGAAUUAAUUCAUUCAUAAAAAAAGAUAAAUUCAUGUAGGUGCGAUAGAUCUAUGGGUCAACUUCAGUGAGCUGUUAAGGUUUUACUCCCUACCCUCACUUGUACUGCUGUUCAUACCAUAUAAGGCUAUUUCCACUACUCUACAAGCUUGAUAAUAAUGGAGAUCGCUAUGCGUACAGGCCUGAUUAAUUCAUUUACUAGCAUUACAAUGCUUUUGGUUUGCAUCUUCUUACUCUUUUUAUCAGUAGCCUUUGCUGCACAAGUCAGUAUCACUUCCAAUGAAUCCAUUAAAGAUGGCGGGAGCACUCUAGUUUCAGCAAAUGGAACUUUUGAACUGGGUUUUUUUAGCCCAGGAAAUUCAAUGAAUCGAUUUUUGGGAGUAUGGUACAAGAAUGAAGCUCAUAAAGAAGUUAUUUGGGUUGCCAAUAGAGAAAUUCCGCUUAAGGAUCGUUCUGGAUUUCUAAAUUUCACCCAGCAAGGAGUUUUGCUUCUUCUCAACGGAAACAACAAAAUAAUUUGGUCAUCCAACAAAACAACAAAUGUUGAGAGUCCAGUUGUGCAGCUAUUGGAUACAGGAAAUCUAGUUGUGAAAGAUGGGAAGGAUAAUAACUCCAUUUUAUGGCAGAGUUUUGAAUAUCCUUGUGAUACGUUUCUACCAGGAAUGGUGAUCGGAGGGGAUUCACAAACUGGUGUGGAUAGAAACCUGAGAUCAUGGAAGAGCGCAGACGAUCCUGGUCCAGGCCAAUUUUCAUAUGGGAUAGAUCGUCAGGGGUUUCCACAGCUAGUCAUCAGGAAUGGAACUUCGACGCACUGUAGGCUGGGUUCAUGGAAUGGAAUAAGUUUCAACUGGAUUCCUGAUCUGCCUGAUCUGUACUUGAAGUUUGAUUUUAUUUUGAACAAGACUCAUGUAGAUUAUAGUUAUGAAUUCCGGAGACCGGGUUCAUUGUUGACGAGGUUAAUUGUGAAUCAGUCAGGAUUCGUGGAACGCUUUGCACGUUCAAUUCAAGCUAAUGGUUGGACAAGUUCGUAUAAGGUACCAAGAGAUCUCUGUGACAAAUAUUCAGUAUGUGGUGCACAUAUGAUUUGCAAAAUGGUCGAUCAAUCCCACAAUUGUACUUGCUUGGAAGGAUUUGAACCCAAAUCUCUUACAGAUUGGAGUGAAGGGUGUGCUAGAAGGAGUCCAUUGAAUUGCACACAGGACAUCUUUCACAAUUUUAUAGGGCUUAAGUUGCCGGAUACAUCCCUUUCCUGGUAUGAUACAAGCAUGAGUCUAGUAGAAUGCAAGGACAAGUGUCUAAAAAACUGCAGUUGCACGGCAUAUGCAAAUUCAAAUAUCACAGGAGAAGGCAGUGGCUGCAUACUCUGGUUUGGUGAAUUGGUUGAUAUCAGAGAGUUCAGUCCAGGGGGCCAAGACCUCUACAUAAGGAUGCCACCACCUUUGAAAACAGGUAUUUAUCAAUAUUCUUCCCAUGAUUCUCAAGCAGGGUAUUUUUUUCACUCUUUCUCUCUGUUUCUUUUUUUCUUUUUCUUUUUUUGAAAUGAGGAAGUUGUAUGUUCCUUAAAUGUUUUCCUAACUUCGUGUCCUCAUUUCCUCAUUCUAUUUACAAAUAAAACAGAACUCCUUUCUGUGUUUAUUGUGGGUUUUCAGAUCAGACGACGUCCAACACAAAUUCUGGUAAGAAGAAGCUUUUAGGAAUCAUACUCGGUUCCACACUCCUUGCUGGAGUGCUUACGGUAGGACUAACCUUCUAUAUAUGGAGAAAGAAGCAGAGAAAGCAAGGUAGUGUACUUUGGACAAUUCUUCUUAUUCCAGAACAUGGACCUUGUUGAUAUAUAUAGUAUACAUGGUAGAUUACUAAUAUUGUAGAAUUUUAUGUUAGUCAUCGAUAACAAAAUGAAGCAUUUGUUAGAUCAUGUUGUUAGUCAAAUUAGCUUUGAUAAGGAGAAGCUGUUCGUUUAUCAAUCUUCUGCUAUUCAGAAAUAGAGGAAGACAUGGAGUUACCAUCGUUUCAUUUGGCCACCAUAGUGAAAGCAACGGAUAACUUUUCAAGCAACAACAAGUUGGGACAAGGUGGUUUUGGACCGGUAUAUAAGGUAUAUAACAACGUGCUUCAAAGCUGAGAGAUCAUCUACUAUGAGAUAUUCUAACUUCAGUAAAUAACGAUUCGCAGGGUACAUUGAUUGAUGGGCAAGAAAUAGCAGUGAAAAGACUUUCAAAAAGUUCUCGGCAAGGAUUGACAGAGUUCAAGAAUGAAGUUAUCUUGAUAGCUAAGCUUCAGCACAGAAAUCUUGUUAAACUUCUUGGCUGUUGCAUUCAAGGAGAUGAAGUCAUGUUGAUCUAUGAAUUCAUGCCCAACAAAAGCUUAGAUUAUUUUAUUUUCGGUUUGUACCCCAUGAACUGGUUAGAGUUUCUUGCAGUUAGAUUGCUUGUUCUAUGAUGUUUCAUUUAUACAUCAGAAUAACAUAACAUUAUGAUAAAUUGAUUAGAUCAAACAAGAAACAAAUUCCUGGACUGGCAGAGACGUAACCUCAUUAUCGGUGGCAUUGCUAGAGGACUACUUUAUCUUCAUCAAGACUCUAGACUAAGGAUUAUCCAUAGAGAUCUCAAAGCCAGCAACAUAUUAUUAGAUAAGGAUAUGCACCCCAAAAUUUCAGAUUUCGGAAUGGCUAGACUGUUUGGAGGAGACCAAAUUGAAGCAGACACAAAUAAAGUGGUCGGAACAUAGUAAGUACACUCUACACCUAUUUUGUUACAUUUAAACUUUUUCUGAUAAUGUUUUUCCGCAGUGGAUACAUGCCCCCUGAGUACGUUGUUGAUGGGCGUUUCUCACUGAAAUCCGACGUCUUCAGCUUCGGUGUUUUAGUCUUGGAGAUAAUAAGUGGGAAGAAAAAUAGAGGAUUCUCCCACCCGGAUCACUGCCAUAAUCUUCUUGGACAUGUAAGGAUAAAAUUAAACAUGUUAAUUUAAUUUAAUUAUGUAUUAACAAUUUUUAUCAUAACAAGUUUUUGUUUUCAAGGCAUGGAAACUGUGGACGGAAGAGAGGGCAUUGGAGCUUCUUGACAAUAUGUCAGAUCGCCCGUAUUCUGUAUCUGAAGUAUUGAGAUGCAUUCAUGUGGGUCUGCUAUGCGUGCAACAAAAGCCGGAAGACAGACCAAAUAUGUCAUCUGUGGUUUUGAUGUUGGGCAGUGAGAAUUCAUUGCCUGACCCAAAGCAACCUGGUUUUUUCACGGAAAGGAAUAUGCCCGCAGUGGACUCUUCAUCAGGAAAUCAUGAAUCAUCGUCUAUAAAUGACCUAACUAUUUCAGAGCUAGAUGCACGGUAGAAGAUUGGCUCUGAUGGUUAAAAGGAAGAGCUAUAUAUAUAUAUAUAUAUGUAUGUAUAUUCUAGCCAAAUCCAAGGCAUAUAACAGAAAUUAAAUAUUUUCUGCUAUAAUUAUGUUGAUGUAUUAUUUUUACCUGUCUACAAGUCCUCUGCAAGUACUAGUGCGAAUACAGAUAGACAGAAUGCUUGAGGAUUCACAUCUCUGGACUGCACAAUAUCUGUACUUGUUUGCUUCGAGCCGUCGAAUUUAAUGCACGGAUCUGGGUUCAAGAUCUAUAUAUGCUAGAGCCUCACUGGCUUCUAACCCAAAAAGAAUCCAUUAGAAUUGUCAAUAUAUAAUUAGUAAAAAAAAAUUACAUACAAUUUAAACAAUCCAAAUUUAUAAUUCAAAUUUACAUUAUAUUUUUCAUAACAUGUUAAAAAAAUAUAUUUUUAACAACCAUACAAGGAGCUAUAGUCUUUCCUUGAUUGAUUUCAUAGCACCUUAAACUUAGCCUUGACCUAACCCUUUUAGGGAUAAAUAUUAUAGGUACGAGUACCUUGAUGAUACUUAGCCUUUGUAGGGGAAUCCGACCGGUGAUGUUUUGAUAUUUGCUCAUAGUAGGCUAAGCACACUAACACAAUAUUUAACGUGGUUCAACAAACCGCCUACAUCCACGGGAGAAACCAUUUGAUUAUAUAGGGAGAGAACAAGAUUUACAACAGUAGAGGAGGAGGAAUCAUCCCCUCUUUGGCAACUCUCAACCUCACUCUAUUUGAUGUUGGGCAGUGAGAAUUCAUUGCCUGACCCAAAGCAACCUGGUUUUUUCACGGAAAGGAAUAUGCCCGCAGUGGACUCUUCAUCAGGAAAUCAUGAAUCAUCGUCUAUAAAUGACCUAACUAUUUCAGAGCUAGAUGCACGGUAGAAGAUUGGCUCUGAUGGUUAAAAGGAAGAGCUAUAUAUAUAUAUAUAUGUAUGUAUAUUCUAGCCAAAUCCAAGGCAUAUAACAGAAAUUAUAUAUUUUCUGCUAUAAUUAUGUUGAUGUAUUAUUUUUACCUGUCUACAAGUCCUCUGCAAGUACUGGUGCGAAUACAGAUACACAGAAUAAUGCUUGAGGAUUCACAUCUCUGGACUGCACAAUAUCUGUACUUGUUUGCUUCGAGCCAACGAAUUUAAUGCACGGAUCUGGGUUCAAGAUCUAUAUAUGCUAGAGGCUCACUGGCUUCUAACCAAAAAGAAUCCAUUAGAACUUUGGAUAGAUUUAUGUAUUUCCUACAAUUCAGUAAUUGUUUUAUAUUGAAAAAUUUUAUUCUGAGUCUAUUUAUUUUUUUAUGUUAUUAAUUUAUUGAUUUAUAUUAUCUUUUUCUCUUACAUUUUAUUUAAAUCACUCAUUAAUUAUAAUGUUGUUGACUUUCUUCGUUAGAUUUUAAUGUAAUUUAAUUUUUUGGCUAGAAUUGUGAAUAUAUAAUUAGUAAAAAAAAAUUACAUACAAUUUAAACAAUCCAAAUUUAUAAUUCAAAUUUACAUUAUAUUUUUCAUGACAUAUUAAAAAAAUAUAUUUUUAACAACCAUACAAGAAACUAUAGUCUUUCUUGAUGGAUUUCAUAGCACCUUAAACUUAGCCUUGACCUAACCCUUUUAGGGAUAAAUAUUAUAGGUACGAGUACCUUGUUGAUACUUAGCCUUGACCUAACAAAUUUUCAUAUCAUAAUUUCAAAAAUUUGAAAAUAGAAAUAAAAUGCAAAAACUAAAAUACAAAAUCAAAAAUAAAAUGAUAUCAAAAAACCCUUCUAACUUUUCUUUUUUAUGUAAGGGUUGAAUUAUAUUAACUCAAUUAACCCAUCUUUCUAAAUUAAGUUAUAUAUUUUUUAAUAAUUUAUGUAUUUUAUCUCAAAUAGAUAAAACAUUAAAAAUAGAAGAGUUAUUAUGGAUCCCACAAAAUAAUAGUUGUAAAGCAUAUAUAGCUUGAUAUUAUGACAAAAAGAUGUCAUAUUGACGUUUUAAUUAACUUAUUAUGUUAUAAUGGAGGAACCUUUACAAAAUAAAAUAAAGACAAGAGGGAUUUAAUCAAUAUUAAAAUAUAAAAAGAGUAGUUGCUAUAAAAAUAAAUAAAUUGAAGAGUACAAAGAUGAAAUAUGAGUGGAACAUGCUAUGUAAUAUGAAUUUUAUGGUUUCGUCCAAACUGGCCACAACAAUCAUAUGGUUUCGUUCAAAGUUCAAACUCGUGUAUGGAUGGGCUUCAAAUGAAAGCCUCUAAUGGAUUUUGGAAAAAGAAUAAUUUAUACUAGGAAAGAGGCCAAGAAAUCAAGGAUGGCAAAACGAGAGAGAAGAAAUCUAUGACAUAGUAUACAACUUGGAGAAAUAUUAUCAAAAUUAAAGGUUCAAGAUGUUGAUAGAAUCGGUAUUUAUUAUAGACGUGAAAAAAUACGAUUAAUGUUUGUUUUUAGUUUAAUUUAGUCCUUGCUUUGUUUUAUUUUGCAUGUUUUAGGGCUUUAGUUGUAUUUGUAUGCUUUUUUUUGGUCAUUAAUGGACUGCUAAAAAAAAAAUAUUGUAAUUGGAAAAACAUCUAUCUGUAGAUGCAAAACGAUAGAAAUAUCUAUGAUAGUUUGCCAUCUUGAAAAAUGGCAAGUAAUGUGAUCAAUAUGCUACGGCAAUUAUGUAAAGCAAAGAGAAAGAAAUUACACUUAAUUUGUUUAUUGUAAAAAAAAAAAAAAAAAAAAACCUUUGAAUGACAUUACGAUUAAAAUUACACUUUAAAUUUUUAAAAAGUCUUUUAUGAAAAAACUUAUAUAUAUAAAAAAAACACCCUUCACUAAAUUUGUCCAAGGCGGGUUAAGGGUAAGCUUCCACCAACCCUUGCUAGCAUUUAAUAAUUGCAAGAAAAUGUUCCCUCUUGAUCCAAAAGGGUAGUAGUUGUUGACUUUGCUGUCCCGCUGGGGACCUAACAUUGUACUGAGAAUUUAUUAGGAUCCGAUAUUUCCAAAGCUCGAAGGUCAUGGGAAGCUGAAACAUUGAUGAUAUGAUCCCACGUAUCAUUAUGAUGAUGAACAAGAACUUCCAAUAGCAGACCACUGUUUUGAGCUGCAUGGGAUCAAUCCAAUCAAGCUAGGUGUAAUAUCAUGGUGCCAUUUUGAUUGUAAAUUCUGUUCUAGCCGGAAAAGUGGGUAUGUCCUGUACUAUUUUAAAAAACAAAAUAAGGUGAAGUGAAUUUUAUCCCUAAGAGGAGGAUCUCGAAUCAUUUUGAAUUUCUUGUUCAAAUUUCAAUUAAGAUAUCCUAGGUUUACCCGUUUUCAAAUAAUAUUUUAGCGAUUCAAAAUAAGGUUGUCGAAAGUUACUCAUGCGUAAUUUGGAGACCUUAUGAUCAUAUUUCCAGCAAUUUAUAGAAACUAGCUCCAAGUUCUCAUCCGUUUUCAUAUUGACAAAGAGAAUGGCCGCACAAGUGCUAAGGGCUCAAGGUUAUCUCUUGUCCUUGUUUGAUUCCAGACGGGGUUUACGCACCUAUUUCUGAACAUACUCUUCCUGACCUUCCAAUGGUGAACAAGUCAAAUCUUACAAUAUAUGUUAAAUAUAUUGUGCUAUAGAAAGAUUUUUUUUCCUCUCUGAAAUGAUGGAGAGAGGGAUGUUAAGGCUAGGGUUGACGCAAUGAACGGUGAGGAUUAGAUAAGGAGAAUGUGGAUGACUUGUGUUCUUUAGUCAAUGGAGGGUUGACAUGUGCAACGAAGGGUAUUAAACGGCGGCACUUAGGCUAGUAGAGAAGAAGACUUGGUCCAAGAUCAUGCUAGAUCUUUACAACUUCUCAGAAUCAGUCCAUUCCAAAUUCAAGUUUGAUGUUUGUUUUAUUUAUAGGACCAGGAAUAAAUCAUGAUAUUCUUAAAGCAUAACCAAAUAUAUAUAUAUAUAUAUAUAUAUAUAAGUAGGUUUAGAUUUAAAAUUUAUUGAAUUUAAAUGAUAAGUAACAUUUUGUAGUUUUACUCCUUUUAUUCUUGCUAUAGCCACCAAAAAAUUGAAACAUAAUGACAAAAUAUUCUAUUAUCGACUAAACACCAUUCCAUUAGUCAUUUAUAUUGCCAACAGAGUUACCAACAAAAAUAUAUUGCCAAUCAAAAUUUUGUUGCAUAUUUGUUAUUUGUCAACGCUACAAAUUAUAGACAAAAAUACCAAUGAAAUAUUGGCUCAAAAUAAAAUAAAAUGCACUGACUAGAUUUUAUCGAUCAUUCUAUCAGUAAAUCAAUUACCAAUGAAAUAUUCAGUUGCAAAUUCCAUCGGUGAAAUAUAACUAUUGCUAACAAAUUAAGCGACAAUAUUGGCAAAACAAUAUUCAUCAUUACACUCUAUCGGAGAUUCUAAAACUUCUUAAUCAUUCUGUAACUUUAUGAUGAAAUAGGGUUUUUAUUGUAGAUGGAAUCACUGAUGAUAUUUUUUUGUCUGUAAGUGAAUCCAUCAGAAAAUUACAAUUUGUUUUUAUAUAAGUAACAUUUUGUAGUUUUAUUCCUUUUAUUCUUGCUAUAGCCACCAAAAAAUUGAAACAUAAUGACAAAAUAUUCUAUUAUCGACUAAACACCAUUCCAUUAGUCAUUUAUAUUGCCAACAGAGUUACCAACAAAAACAUGUUGCCAAUCAAAAUUUUGUUGCCUAUUUGUUAUUUGUCGACGCUACAAAUUAUAGACAAAAAUACCAAUGAAAUAUUGGCUCAAAAUAAAAUAAAAUGCACUGACUAGAUUUUAUCGAUCAUUCUAUCAGUAAAUCAAUUACCAAUGAAAUAUUCAGUUGCAAAUUCCAUCGGUGAAAUAUAACUAUUGCUAACAAAUUAAGCGACAAUAUUGGCAAAAAAAUAUUCAUCAUUACACUCUAUCGGAGAUUCUAAAACUUCUUAAUCAUUCUGUAACUUUAUGAUGAAAUAGGGUUUUUAUUGUAGAUGGAAUCACUGAUGAUAUUUUUUUGUCUGUAAGUGAAUCCAUCAGAAAAUUACAAUUUGUUUUUAUAUAAGUAACAUUUUGUAGUUUUAUUCCUUUUAUUCUUGCUAUAGCAACCAAAAAAUUGAAACAUAAUGACAAAAUAUUCUAUUAUCGACUAAACACCAUUCCAUUAGUCAUUUAUAUUGCCAACAGAGUUACCAACAAAAACAUGUUGCCAAUCAAAAUUUUGUUGCAUAUUUGUUAUUUGUCGACGCUACAAAUGAUAGACAAAAAUACCAAUGAAAUAUUGGCUCAAAAUAAAAUAAAAUGCACUGACUAGAUUUUUUCGAUCAUUCUAUCAGUAAAUCAAUUACCAAUGAAAUAUUCAGUUGCAAAUUCCAUCGGUGAAAUAUAACUAUUGCUAACAAAUUAAGCGACAAUAUUGGAAAACAAAUAUUCAUCAUUACACUCUAUCGGAGAUUCUAAAACUUCUUAAUCAUUCUGUAACUUUAUGAUGAAAUAGGGUUUUUAUUGUAGAUGGAAUCACUGAUGAUAUUUUUUGUCUGUAAGUGAAUCCAUCAGAAAAUUACAAUUUGUUUUUAUAUAAGUAACAUUUUGUAGUUUUAUUCCUUUUAUUCUUGCUAUAGCCACCAAAAAAUUGAAACAUAAUGACAAAAUAUUCUAUUAUCGACUAAACACCAUUUCAUUAGUUAUUUAUAUUGCCAACAGAGUUACCAACAAAAACAUGUUGCCAAUCAAAAAUUUGUUGCAUAUUUGUUAUUUGUCGACGCUACAAAUUAUAGACAAAAAUACCAAAGAAAUAUUGUCUCAAAAUAAAAUAAAAUGCAGUGACUAGAUUUUGUCGAUCAUUCUAUCAGUAAAUCAAUUAUCAAUGAAAUAUUCAGUUGCAAAUUCCAUCGGUGAAAUAUAACUAUUGCUAACAAAUUAAGCGACAAUAUUGGCAAAAAAAAUAUUCAUCAUUACACUCUAUCGGAGAUUCUAAAAUUUCUUAAUCAUUCUGUAACUUUAUGAUGAAAUAGGGUUUUUAUUGUAGAUGGAAUCACUGAUGAUAUUUUUUGUCUGUAAGUGAAUCCAUCAGAAAAUUACAAAUUUUUUUUAUAUAAUUGUUAAAUUAAAAACCAAUAAAAAUCACAAAUAAAACCAAAUAUUAUUAAUUUUAUUGAACAUCAAAAUUUUAUUAAUUUUAAUUUUACAACAAUAUAUACACCGCUACACAGAUGGAGGUGGAGGGAAAUAAAAUCAUGAGCCAAAAGAACUAGAAUGAGGAGCAUGAUAAUGUUAGAAUCUCUUAAAGAAGAGACUCCAAUUCUACAGCCUAAAGUGGAUGAGCGCCUCGAUUGAUAUUAUGUGAAUUAGGUGUCUCUUCAUCAUCGACACCUAAAUUAAUAACAUGAUUAUGGACAUCACCAACACUAUUAUUGGUUGAAUCAACAACAACAAUAGAUCUCUUUAAACUUUUUCUUAGUAUCUCUAAAUAUUAUAUGAGUUAAUUUUCAAUUUCAAUGUAAUAAAUCUACAUUCUAUGUUGAAUAAUGGAGUACACAUCCCAAAAUAAUCUACAUUUAAAAAACGCACUUUCUAAGUCUAACAAGCUAUUCCAAUUAUUCAAUACUUUAUACCACUACUACUACUAUCAUCAUCAUCAUCAUCAUCAUUAUCAUCUAGGGCUUAAACAUUUAAUAUAACAAUUAUGCUUAGGUUUAUAACAACAACAGUAAUAAAACGAAUUAUAUUAAUUGUAAAAAAAAAUACAUAAAAAAAUCAAAAUAAAUAUUAAAAUUAUAGAAUCACGAUUAAAUUUUAUUAUAAUGCACAACACAAUUGCCAACAACAAUAAUAAUUACUCAAAUUUUAGUAUGUUUAUUGUAGGAAAAAUGCACACACAAUAAUAACAAUAAUAAUUACAAAAAAUUUAAUGCACAACAUAAAAUUAAAAGCAUACACAUGCAAUAAUAAUAUUCUCUUGGCAACUACAAACACUUUAGAGACUGAGAGACUUACCUUAAAGAGAUUGAGGAUGGGCGAUGACGAGAGAGAGAGAGAGAACGGGGGUGGGCGAUGAUGACUUUUUUAGUGAUGAGUGCAUUAAGGAUGGAGAGAGAGAGAGAGAGAAGGUGGUAGAGAGGGUGCGACAACUUUUGGAUAAUUAUAGCAACAAAGAUGAAAAUGGGAGAAAUAACGAUCAAAUUAUAACCUAAAAUCAUCAAUGAAAUUUUCAUUGUCGAUUCCGUCAACAUGUUAACAUAUGUCGACAUAAUCACUAAUGGAUAUUUAAUUAUUAUUUUUUAAUAUUUUUCAAUUACGUUGGCAAUUUUGUCGCCAUUUCUAAAACCUAUAAGACAUUUUUGACAAAAUCACAUUUAUUAGUGAUUCCAUCACCAUUUCUUAAACCUCCUAGGAUUUUUCAAUAAAACUGCACAUCCAUUGCUAAAACCUUUUGGAAUGUUUGAUGAAAUUGCAUGUCUAUUGGUGAUUUCUUCACCGUGGACAAUUCCAUCGACAAUUCCAUCACUAUUUGUUUUUUAAAAAAAUUUAUUGUUAUAAUAUCUUAGCCAACCUAAAUACACAAUAACAACAAUACCAAGCAUUUUAAAGCCAACAAUUGCCAACAUUAAACCCAAAACCACAACAAAUAUAAAAAAUACAAUGCAUUAUAGAGUUGCAACAAAUUUAUAUGAUGAUUGUAUUACAUCUAAAUCAAUGUAAUAUCGUUUAAUUAGAAUCCUCCUUUUCAUUUUUAUCAUCUUCUUUGUUGAAUCCAAAGCUUGUUGAUCUCAUCAUUUUCCUCUACUUCAUUAUGUCUACUAAUACUCAAAAUAUCAUUUCAAUCGUCAACAUCAAUAUAAGUAUUCUCAACAACAUGAAAAUUUAUAUUUUCUAACUUGGUAGAAGAAGCAACUCGAUAUAAAUUAAUUAUAUCAUCUAUUUGACAUACAUCAUCUCACUUAGAUACUUCAUUGUUAUCAUCUUCAAUUACUUUAUCUUUAGCACAACUGCUAAGUUUAGUUUUCACAAUGAAAAACCAAUCAACUCUAUUAUGAUCAUUUUCAAAUAAAGGAGUGUAUGUAUAAUACACUUGUUCCCAUUGUUUAGAAAAAAAAAUAAAAACAUCAUUGAUGUUGCAUAAUUGUUCUCUUUUAUUUACUUUGACCAUACCAUGUCGAGGAUCUACGCUAAUUCCUCUAUCGAUACCAUACAACUAGCAUUUUUAAAUAAAGCUAUUAUAUAUUGUUCACUAUGAUAUCACAAUUCAAUAACCUUUUAUAACAUGCCAUAAUAACUGACUUCAAUUUUAUUGGAAGUUGAACCCUUGACACAAACCCCAAUAUUUGACUAUCUCCAAUGAGAGAUGCUAUUUAGAAGAGCCAAAUUGGUAAUAUGACUUUUUAAAUAGUGUAAAUAUAGUUUUUUCUUUUCUUUUUUUGCGUAUGUGCACUCCAAUUGUAAAAAAACCAUUUAGAAGAGAAAAUUGUAUUUUAAUAUAUUUGAUACACAACUAUUUUAACAACAUAAUAUGAUUCAGUUGACUUGACAAGUCUAAAAAUAACCCGAACAAUUCUCAAUCAACUCAAUAUUAAAGAAUGAAAUUGAAAAGAAAAGAAAAAACAAAAAAUAACUAGAGUAAAUCUAGGUAAACUCGUAAAAAUCAUGAUACGGAUCAUGAGAUCAUGAUAAUCUCAUAAAAAACAAAGUAAAAAAAAUAGAUGUAAAAAAAAAUCAAAGAAAAAAAACUAGUACAAAACAAAUAUUAUUACAAUGAAUAGUGAUCUAGCAUUUUUGCAAGAUAUGUAGGAAUAAUAGUUUUUUUAGAGAAAUGCUAUAAAAAAAAAUUAGCACUCUCUUUAGAGCAUGUAAAAUAAACAUUAAAAAGCAUAUAUAUAUAUAUAUAUAUAUAUUAUGUCCUUCCUUUUAACAUCUCUAUUGGAGAUGCUCUUAUAUGUUUUUUGACCCUCACCUUACUCUAGUAUGAAAGAUAUAUUCAUUGAUGAAUUAUCCAUUAUAACACUAACCUUUCUUUGAGGACCUAGAGAAAGGAAUUUCAGUUGACCAGCAUUGUAUCUGAUUUGAAAGCCUAGUUAACGUUAAUUAAUGACCAUUAAUGGUUAGAGUCAUAACAUAAAUAAAUCUUUUCUUAUGAGUUAUGAAUUAUUAAAUACUUACAUGUAUUUUAAACCACAUGAAUAAAUUUUCAUCAUGUAAUUGGAAAGUUCGAGCUUCAAUUUCCAUGGCCUAACCUCUUAGUCAUAAAAAUAACCUUAACAUCUUCACAUUUUUACUAAACAAAAGGAAAACUUAUAGUUGUUGAAGUGUUAAAUUUGUUUUUUUCCAACAGACACCAAUUAUAGAAAUUGCAAUAAAAUAUCACUCUUGAUCACAAUGAUCAAGAUAUCAAAUGUAUUUAAUUGUUUCUUCCCUCAUUCAUACAACAUAAUCCUAAGAGAAUUCCAAGGGUUAGAUUUCAGGUAUAAAGGAAUGAGGGGCAUUGAUGUAAUUGCAUAACCAAUUGACAAGUAUAAAUAUUGUAAUUAUUGUAAGAUUUAUGUUUUAAUGUGUAAUUAUUGUAAUUAGCUUUGAUUUUGGUUUUGUUAAGGUUUAGGGUUUUGAAUUUUAUGUUUUAGGGUUAGAUUUAUGCAUUAAUUGAAGUGUUAUAGGUUAAGUUUUAUGUGUUAAACUGUUAUGGGUUGAAUAUGUUGGGUUUUAAGUUAGAAUUUAAAAUGUGUCAAUAUUAGGAGACUAGUGGAUUAGGAAUUUAAAAUCCUGAUCAACUGGUUGACCAGUAGGCUUAUUAACUUUAAUCGAUUGGUUGGUGAAUUUCGUUUGAUUUGCCUGACUAGGUUCGGUCAACUUAUUGGUAGAUUUUGGUCGACCAGUUGAUCAAACACUGAGGGUUGAUCGGUUCUUUUUGGCUCAAAAGUUUAGUAAAUGUUUGAGAUUGGUCAGGUAUAUCUGUUUCGCUUUUAUAUUUAUGUUUGUUCUCAAAUCUUAUAGAUGUAAUCUCUUAUGUUUUUUGUUUUGAGUCAUUUUUUAGUACAUUUGCUUUUAUAUUUAGAUACUCUUAAUACUCUACCUAUUGGGUAUCAAUAGGACUUCCAUCGAUAUCUGUUUUUGAAUCCUAACUACUUUUGAGUCAAGUGAGUGGAUAAUAUUCCAUAUGCUAAAAGAGUAGUAUAAAUAUUUUAAUUAUUAAUAUAAAAUUGAUCAUGCUUCUUGGUAAUUUAUAUAUUGCUUAUUAUCACUUGUCUAUGAUAAAACAUGAUCAAUGAUGGUUCAUUAAUGUCCAUUGAUUUAGACUCCUUCCCCCUUCCCAACUACGAAUAAGAUCGAGAGGAGCCCGAAAGAAAGCCCCCCAACCAAGAACGGAAACGGAAGCCUUUCUAUUCAUUCCCCAUUCUCUCUUAAAUAAAGCUCGCCCUCGAGCUUCAAUUUUAAUAUAAAUAAAGGGCAGGUCGGCCGGGUCUUUCCCUGUUGUUCUGUUUCCGCCACGAGAAAGACGCACGGAAGAGGUAUGCCCAAACAAAAUGAGAAAAAAAAGGAGAGGCCUUCGCAUUCCUAAUCCGGUAGGGCCGGCCGGCUUUGUUUGCCCCGGCUUGGCGAAUCGCAUCCCCGCGCAACGACAUUCUUUGUGCGCCCCGUCACCGUUCUCGCUCAGUGUUUGCAACGGCUGGGGAGGCAGUCGUAGAAGCGAAGCCUAUCGCCGAGCCGACCAAAAAAUACGAAAUUGGGCCCCUUCUAUGAAAUUGGAUGGAAUGGUCCAGCCUUUUCAGACUAAUUUCUUGAUAUGAGCAAUUGUGUUCUUCUGAAUUGACAACUUCUCAUUUGAUUGAUUGUAUGGGUUGAGCUUUUAAGAAAUGAUUAUGUUUUAUUUAAUUAUGACCCUAUGACAUACUAGUCAGAAUACUCAUGCUAACACGGUAGUGUUACUCUUUGUGCACAUCAUAGUUCUGAACCUUAGUUAGUCAAUAGAGUCACCAAAUUAUGGCGACCAAUUGUCUUAUAUUUUGGAGCUUCAUGCUCCUUACAUUUUGAUUUUCUAACAAACCAUAUGAUAUUUCUUUUUAUGAUCUCUUUGUAAAACUCUUUGAUAAAAGCAUAAGCCAAGCUUGUGUAUAGAUAUUUCUCAUUAAUGUCUUACCUUAUAUGUGUAUAUUAAACGUUAUCUACUCAAUGAGUUGUUUAACUCAUCCUCUUGUUAUUUAUUAUUUUUAGGCUUAUAGCUUUGUUAAUAGGUCGCUUUUGUGGACUUUUAGAACCUGCUCUUUGUUGCAAUUAACAUUAUUUCGUUAUGUCUAGUUAGAGCUCUACAAUUACAUAAUUUGCAUUAACUUUUGUAUAAAGAUGUUGAUUUAUAUUGUUAUCAUUGUUUCGUUACUCUAAUUGAGUUAAUAUAAAGAGAAGUUUGUAUGUAUGCUUAGAUUUGCAUACGUAAAGAACCUGGUGGGGGCCUUGUUUAUGUAUCGGUCAUGAAUCCAAGGUUUGGAUCAUGAUAAUUGGCUUCCUAAAAAAAGCAUGAUUUAUAAUCAAUUAUAUAAAAAAGAGUGUUCUAUUAUUAAGACUCGUCUAAUUAGUUUUCAUUUACUAGAAAUGUACUUUUUAUCACGUAAGGUGCUUUCGGUCUAAUAAUCCAAGUUACAGGUUUAAAAAAUUAAUGUUUGUUAAUAAUUUUUUUGUCUACUUAUAUUCUUUUUUUAUUUUAUUAUUUGACAUUGAUUUUUUUUUAAAUAGGCUUUAUAAUUUUCUUUGUUUUUUUUUUUUCUAUUAGAUUAUUUUAUUUUCAUGAAUUAUAAAUUUAAUAUAUUAUCCUGGGUGAACUCAAUCCUUUUCCGACCCCCGGCAGUGCAGGUCGACAUUAGAGCAACAACUAUUUGAAGGAUUUUUUUUUUUUUUUUAUCCAACUGGUAAAGUUAUGUUAGAGUUAGUUUAUACAUUAACUGACGCUAAAUCUUAUAAAUCUUUUCUCGAGAAAUCUUAAGAACAUAUCAUCUGUAUCCAUCCUAGUAUAUUUAAUAAAUUUCAGUAAAUGUUUGUCUUAAAAUUUGGAGCAGAACAAAUAGGUUGAGUUGCUAUAUGAAGUAGUGAAAUAGUAAUAAUAAUAUGACAGACUUCUACUCUUUCUCCAUUGAUCAAUGAAUUAAUUCAUUCAUAAAAAAAGAUAAAUUCAUGUAGGUGCGAUAGAUCUAUGGGUCAACUUCAGUGAGUUGUUAAGCUUUUACUCCCUACCCCCACUUGUACUGCUGUUCAUGCCAUAUAAGGCUAUUUCCACUACUCUACAAGCUUGAUAAUAAUGGAGAUCACAAUGCGUCCAGGCCUGAUUAAUUCAUUUACUAGCAUUACAAUGCUUUUGGUUUGCAUCUUCUUAGUCUUUUUAUCACUAGCCUUUGCUGCACAAGACAAUAUCAUUUCCAAUGAAUCCAUUAAAGAAGGCGAGAGUCUAGUUUCAGCAAAAAGAACUUUUGAACUGGGUUUUUUUAGCCCAGGAAAUUCAAUGAAUCGAUUUUUGGGAGUAUGGUUCAUGAAUGAAUUGUCAGCUCAUAAAGAAGUUAUUUGGGUUGCCAAUAGAGAAAUUCCGCUUACGGAUCGUUCUGGAUUUCUAAAUUUCACCCAGCAAGGAGUUUUGCUUCUUCUCAACGGAAACAAUGAAAUAAUUUGGUCAUCCAACAAAACAACAAAUGUUGAGAGUCCAGUUAUGCAGCUAUUGGAUUCAGGAAAUCUAGUUGUAGGAGAUGGGAAGGAUAGUAACUUCAUUUUAUGGCAGAGUUUUGAAUAUCCUUGUGAUACGUUUCUACCAGGAAUGAUGAUCGGAGGGAAUUCACAAACUGGUGUGGAUAGAAACCUGACAUCAUGGAAGAGCGCAGACGAUCCUGGUCCAGGCCAAUUUUCAUUUGGGAUAGAUCGUCAGGGGUUUCCACAGCUAGUCGUCAGGAAUGGAACUUUGAAGCACUAUAGGCUGGGUUCAUGGAAUGGAAAAAGUUUCACCGGGACUCCUGAUCUGCCUCGAGAUCAGUUCUUGAAGUAUGAUUUUAUUUUGAACAAG